rnacentral:rRNA from 1 species
CCUACGGGAGGCAGCAGUGGGGAAUAUUGCACAAUGGAGGAAACUCUGAUGCAGCAACGCCGCUUGAGGGAAGACGGUCUUCGGUUUGUAAACCUCGUUCUUUGGGGAAGAAAAUAACGGUCCCCAAAGAGGAAUCUCCGGCUACCUACUUCCCAGCAGCCGCGGUAAUACGUAGGGGGCGAGCGUUGUCCGGAUUUACUGGGUGAAAAGGGAGCGUAGGCGGGCGAGAAAGUUGAAUGUUAAAUCUACCGGUUUAACUGGUAGCUGCGUUCAAAACUUCUUGUCUUGAGUGAAGUAGAGGCAGGCGGAAUUCCUAGUGUAGCGGUGAAAUGCGUAGAUAUUAGGAGGAACACCAGUGGCGAAGGCGGCCUGCUGGGCUUUAACUGACGCUGAGGCUCGAAAGCGUGGGGAGCAAACAGGAUUAGAUACCCUGGUAGUC